rnacentral:tRNA from 1 species
GGAGGUAUAGCUCAGUGAUAGAGUAUGUGCUCAGUGUGCAUAAGGUUCUGGGUUCAAUCCCCAGCACCUCAA